GGAGGUGUCCGCAGAUGUCUGGAGACAAACGCCUGAAUCGCACUCAGGAGGUCGACGGUUCGAGCCCGUUCAGCUCCACCA
rnacentral:tRNA from 1 species